rnacentral:lncRNA from 1 species
UUUCACAUGACAAUUCUACCAGAUGUUGUAUGCUAUUCUUUUUAUUCUUUUUCCUCGUAGGCCCUAGUGUAUACUUUAUAAAAAAUCUCUGUGAUAAGAAAUCCUUACAGGUUUGCUUCAAAAAGAAAAUAAAAAACAAUUCUACAAGGCCAUUUACUAGCCAUAUAAAUCCAGCAACAGAAACACAUACUAUGAUAGUUUGAUUUUGCUAACCUACACAAUGUCCAGUCUCUAAUGGCUUGAUUCAGCUAACCUGCACACACGCACACACACAAAAAACUUAGUUCAGAUAUGCAGCUUUAAAUGAAAUACAAGCUCACAGUGGAUCAAACUUAAGCCACAAUGAUUUCGCAAAAGUAAUAAUAACCACAUUGGUUAAAUUCUGUGGGUUGAGUUUCCAGGCCUUCUGGGUCUCCUUAACAGCAGGUCUUCACUUCUCCCCACUUGGUCUGGUCUUGAAAAAGAAAAGGUUAAGUCAACCAUAUGAUUUAUUUAUUGCUCAAUGCUAAUAACACAGUUAUGAAUCCAAGUCCCACCCCUCUCACUUUCUAUAAUUAUGAAAUGCUCUACACUUUUACUGUCUUACACAGAAUUUACGAUGACUUCAAGCAGUAAAUGAUCUACCUCAUGACCCGUUGCGUGAUGUAAAUAGGGUGAUAAUAAUCAGCUCUCCCUCUCUCUCUUUUCGUACUUUGGAGCUUAAAGGCAUUCACAAACCUGGGGAACAACGAAACAGAGCACUCUGUACUUGUGCAGGGAUAAGUCUGCAAAAAAAAAGUCUGCGAGAGUACAAGGCAGACGCACACAUCAUCACCACCGGAAAUAAUGAACACGCGCUGGAAAUUAUAUAUGAACUUUGGUGGGGGCAGGAACAGUAUAGACUGAACAAAAAAAAAUUGGUGCGGCCUACUUCAAGAGAAAAUGGCGAGAAGUUUCCUGAUGAAUGGAUUGGAAAACAAUGUCGUGUCAAUACCCACAUUGAAUCUUUUGCUUCAGAAAGUGGACACUUUGAGACUUGAGAGCAACAGAAAGUGAACACGCUAGUGACACAGAGAGGACAAUGAAGUCAAAACUGAAGAAAAAGCAGGCAGAGAGGAAGAAAGUGACACCUCUCCCCUCUGUGACUAAAUCAGCCAAAAUGCCACCUGGGUUACUAGCCUCGGCCUGCUGAAUUCAGCUGCUUCUGCUACCUUCCAAACCACUGCCACGUUCGAAACCGAACCGAAGAAAUG